rnacentral:lncRNA from 1 species
UGAACUAUGUUUCCAUAUUCAAAUCAUAUUUUCUAUAUUUAAAAAUGUAUUGUAUUCAAUCUCUUCUCCAUUUAAGACGUAUCUGAUAUUUCAUAACAUUACGCUUUUAACUCAAUGAUUAAUAAGAUUUAUAUAUAGAAGGGUUUUUAAAUCGAGACGUUAUUUCAGUUAAAAUAAUUCUGCAAUUAUCAUGUAGAUCUUAAAAUUCUGUUUUAUUUACUAAAGGAUCUCCUUUUUUCAAUUUUUCAUAAUAAUUAUUCACUUUAUUCAAAUGUAUAGAUACUAUAUAACACCUCCUAAUAGUAUGUUAACUCUUUGCUAUUACAUUAGAUCACUGAACAAUAUUUGUUACUUCACUAAACAUCACUUUAGCCAUUGAAACGAAAGCAAAUAAAAUUAUCUUGUUGUCACUAUCUUAUUAUCAUUGCUAGUUCUUACAUCUUACUGAAAACCACGUUUUGGGACUGCAUGUAUGAUAUUCUGUUAAUUCUUUCUUUUGUUUUCUUAUCAGUGAAAGACAUAGACAUCAGUGAGAAGAAUGCUGAUAAACUGAUGUCUGUUAAGCAAAAAUACUUUGUGACAUUAUUCUAUUCAAGCUGCCAAGGCAUACCCUUGUCAUUCUUACUACUGAAAAUGCACUAAGCCAGGGGAUUACCUGUUGGAAAUCUAUGACCAAUAAUACAAUUAUUCACUAUCACACAUGAUUUAAAAAAUAGCAUUCUUAACCCUUUUGAUACCAACCUGGCCAAAACCGCCUUUGGCUCUGUAGUACAAAUGUCUUGUUUCCAUAAGUUUUGAAUUAAAAUCUUCCACCAAACCUUAGUCACAAUUUAUGUUCCUAACACCUGCUUAAUUAUUGCUAAGUUAUUUUACUAAAUUCUUUGUUAUAUUUAAAGUAAUUGAAAGAAACACAGAGCAUCUCAAAAUAAAUACGGUACAAAAAGGGUUAAUCUUUUUAUAAUUUGUUUUAUUGUAAUUAUUUUUGCUAAACCUGAUAUAAAUAUGAUUCUUACCAUGUUAUUGCUUGCUAAAGCUAUGACUCUCACAACCAGCCAAGUUUUGAUUGAGAUUGACUAAACUGGAUUUAUACAGACUUAAGUCACAAGUAAAUUAUUGUUGAGUGUGUAGAACUUGCCAAAUCAGAUGAGCAGCAUACUAAAUGCUUUGUGGUAUUUACUUAUAAAUCCCAUUUUGCAUUUCCACCUGUUAAGACCAGUAUAACAAGAUACCUGUCAUGUAUUUGACAUCAAUGUAAUUUACUAUAUUCUCAUGUGAAAUUCAUGCCCCUGUGCCUAUAUUAGGUACCAUUUAUUGUCGAAACUAAUAAUUUAUUUGAUUUAUGAAGCAAGUAAUAAAAUUCAUAAUGACUUUGUAAGAAGUUUGCAGACUUGACUUUGAAUUUAAUCUCAGCUCACUUUUUUUUUUUUUUUUUGCUUUUUUUGUUUUGCUCUUUUUGUAGUGAAUAAUUGCAAAAAUCAAGAAAAGUUUCCGUUUUGAUGUUUGUUAGUAAAUCUAUAUGAGGAACUGCUCUAUAUAGGUGCUUGUAUUUUAUAUUUUCAUCACAUAACAUAAAACUGCUUGAGUGUUGACAAUUUAUGAAUGAUUAGAAGUAGAUUAUGAUUCAGUUGAGUUACCCAUCUGUUAAAUUUUAUUUGGCUGUAAAAUAAACAUAAGUAAGUUAAUUACCUAAAAUUUAUCUGUUUAUCUAUCUAUCCAUAUGUACACACACACACAGAGGAUAGAUAGAUAAAUAGAUAGAUAGAUAGAUAGAUAGAUAGAUAGAGAGAGAGAGAGAGAGAGAGAGAGAGAGAGAGAGAGAGGGAUUAUUUGUGUUAAAAAGCAUCAUCCGAUCAUGGCCGUUUGCCAGACUCGUCUGGCACCUGUGCGGGUGGCAUGUAAAAAGCACCCACUACACUCAUGGGGUGGUUGGCGUUAGGAAGGGCAUCCAGCCGUAGAAACAUUGCCAGAUCAAACUGGGCCUGGUGCAGCCUUCUGGCUUCCCAGACCCCAGUUGAACCGUUCAACCCAUGCUAGCAUGGAAAGCGGAUGCUAAACGAUGAUGAUGAUGAUGAUGAAAUACUAUAUUUUUGUAAUUACAUGACUUCUAUAAUUGGUACACUGGUUUUGCAAGUGACUUUGUAUGAAGCCCUGUACUGAAACUGAAUUAAGUUCUUUAAACUAUUACCACAAAACAAUAAUCAUUAUGAUAAUGCAAGUGAAUGAUAUAUCAGUAAUGUUUGUCAUAAAUGGCUGAUAUCUCUCAUCCAGAUUCUGUCUUUUAUUGAGUACAAGUAAAACUUCAACACUAAAAUCUUUUAUGUCUCCAAAAUUCACUCUAUUCUAAACUGCAGUAUAAUAAAUUAAAUAUUCCAUAGUUCUGUUCUUUCUUAUCUAUUCUUUCAUCUAGAACAUGGAUUUUAUUUCAUAUUUAAAGUACACCCAAUGACCUUGAUCAUGUACCAUGUUUUCACCAGUUGUUUUAAGUGCUUGUGUAAUCAUGAGUGGACAUAGAUGUUCUCUUUCCCACUCCUCCUGCUCUUGAUCCAGCAAAACAUCCAGAAUGUAGUAGCAAGAAGGAGAGAGGGCUGCACCAGCAUCUGGAAUGGUACUCAUUACAGAUGAGUUGAGUAGAACAAAAAUGAAGUGCCUUCUUUAAGGACACAAUGCACCACAUGAUCUGAGAAUUAAAACCAAAAACAUGAUCAUAAGCUGAACACCUUAACCACUAGACUGCGCACCUUCAUUAGUUACUUACACAAUUUUACACAAAGUAAAUAAAAUUAUAAAGAAAGACACUAGUUUAAAAAAAUUGUUUGUUUCAAAAUUCACCCAUAUGUGUUGAAAUCAUUCUAGAUUUUGUUAUUGAUGUAGUUGUUCCGGGCGAACGAUCCUGUCUCUUUAAGGAAUACCUAGGAUUACAUUAUUAUACGUGUUCUGGAGUUGUUUUGAGAUGGCUGAGUGUUAGUUGAGGAGAGUUUAGUUGUCAUUUCCAGCAGGUUGACCAACCAUGUAGCAGCUCCUUCAGUGGCUCUAUCAUUCUAGUUUUUAUUUUAAAGUGAGAAGUCAACAUAAUUUUUAUAAUUUUGAAAUAUACGUUACUGCAUAAUUAAAAGAUCGGUUGCUCAAUUACAUCUUUGGAUAGCUUUAUUUGUUGUUGUUAUUGUUGUUGAUAUUUAUUUCCAAGUCAGUUCUAAUUCAAUGAAUUUUAAGAUUAAAACUACACAACCCAUCAUCAUUUUCUUUUGCUAGACAUAGUGUAUCUAAGUCUAUAUUAUAUGCUGUCUCUGUAAUUUUUGGAAGUAGAUUUAGCUUCUGUAACUAAGAGUCUCCUUUAUUAAUGUUUGUAAUCACAGCUUUAAUUUGCUAUCAUUGGUAAAAAACUCCCCAAAAUCUCACUCUAUUCUCUCUUUUAAAUUAGGCAUCGCACGAUAAUAUUUUCAAUGUCAUGUUACAUUUUUAAAUAACCUUAACAUUAAUCAGCUAAGUUAGAUGUCCUUUUAAUAUCUUGUUCCACGUUUUGCAUUUUUCAGCUUUAAUACUUCUACUUAAAUUCUGCUACUUCCAAUCUUUGUAAUUUAGAAUGUGAUCAACAAGUUAGUAGAUUUUUAAAUGUUCACUUUUACCCUAAAAGCUUGUAGCCACCUAAUAACAAGCCAAUAUAAAUCAUUGAAACAAAUAUAGAUGAAUAUAUAUAUAUAUAUAUAUAUAUAUAUAUAUAUAUAUAUAUAUAUAUAGGUGCAGGAGCGGCUGUGUAGUAAGUAGCUUGUUUACCAACCACAUGGUUCCGGGUUCAGUCCCACUGCGUGGCAUCUUGAGCAAGUGUCUUCUACUAUAGCCUCGGGCCAACCAAAGCCUUGUGAGUGGAUUUGGUAGAUGGAAACUGAAAGAAGCCUGUCGUAUAUAUAUAUAUGUAUAUAUAUGUGUGUGUUUGUGUGUCUGUGUUUGUCUCCCCAACAUCGCUUGACAACCGAUGCUGGUGUGUUUAUGCCCCCGUAACUUAGCAGUUCGGCAAAAGAGACCGAUAGGAUAAGUACUGGGCUUACAAAAGAAUAAGUCCCGGGGUCGAUUUGCUCGACUAAAAAGGCGGUGCUCCAGCAUGGCCGCAGUCAAAUGACUGAAACAAGUAAAAGAGUAAAAGAGUAUAUAUAUAUAUAUAUAUAUAUAUAUAUAUAUAUUUAUUUUAAUCUUUAAUCAUCAUAGUCUUUGUCAUUGGCAUAGUGGUUGUAUUUGUUCUCUCCAAUAAUAUUAUCUCCAACCAUGUCGCUACACAUUCUUCUUAUUUAAAAAUUAGCAAUCUCAACAACUAUGCUAAUCAUAUAGCCUCUAUGUGGUCAUUCAACUUUCUACGAAUAUCAAAAGAAUCUCCCUCAUGUCACCUUUCUAUUUUAAAAAUAUGAUAUAUUGGAUAUUGUAGUCUGGGAUAUUUGUGUCAGAAACAAGACAGGAUGGUCAUGGCUGGAACGUUUUUUUAAUCAUGCAUCUCUUUUAUCAGAGCUAAUUUCAAGACUAAGCAACUAGAAAUAUAUUUCUUUUAUAUUAUCCAAAAUGAAAAUGUCAAUUUUCCUUUUAAAAUAAAUUACUUAAAUAAUGUGCCACUCUGUAGUGAUGACAGUUUUAAAUAUAUAUUCUAGGAAUGCUGGUAGGGGAGAAUCAAUUCUUGUGUAGUAACAACAUGUUUGUCAUAAAUUAUAUAUCCUAAUGUAUUGUUUUUUGGAGGUCAUCUUCCUACUUUUGCAACACGUAAUAACUCCUUUUUACUUAUUUUUUUCUUAUAACCCUUAAUUGUAUUUCUGCAUUUUGUUGGUUUCUCUACUAGUGUAAACAACUUCACAUUAACAUAAUUUUUACCAUUAUCUAAAGAGUUGUUUCCCAUAUGCUAUGUGCCACCAGUAGAUAGCGUUAGUCUAGUUUAAUUCCAUCGUUUUUGAUUGAGUACUUGAUAUUUUACUUCCAAUGCACAAUGCAAUGCACGCACACGGACUCACAUAUGUAUAUGUGUGCAUAUACAUGUACAAACGAUAGCAUACAUAUUUAUACAUAUCUACCCACACACACACACACACACACACACAUAUAUAUUGAUGUUUCUUAGUUUAUCAUAUUUCUUCUCUCUGAGCGUGAAAGAAAACUAUUGUAGUAUUAUUUGCCUGAAUCUCAUUUAUUGCCAAACACAAUUAAUUCCUGUAUUGAAUAUUGAAAUAAACAACAAAUGGGGGUGGCUGGUUGCAAACAGGGUGGCUGCAGUAGAAAUUAACAUUGAUUUUCAAUAUGGAUAUAUAAAUAAGCUUUCUAAACUUUUGCUAGAUAAAGUGUGUGUAUAUAUAUAUAUUUGAUAUUUGCCUAAUAGUGGUUUUAUCUCUAAUUUAAUAUAAUAUAUAUAUAUAUAUAUGUAUGUAUGUAUGUAUAUAUGGGUGUGAGCAUGUGUGUGUGUGUGUGUGCAUGCACACGUGCAUGUGAAUGUGUGUGGUUGCCUUUUUGUGUGCAUAUUUGUAUGUAUAAUCCAGAAUAAAUUCAAUUUGUAGUUAAUGAUAUUUGCUUAAUAAAUUUCCACAAAGGAUUUUUUCUAUAUCUCCCUUGUAUAUUACGACUGUUCUGUAUAGAUUUGAUAUUUUAAAAAAAAAAUGCUUAAUAAUGUGAAUAUUUAUUAAAUUUACUGUUUUUCAAAGAAAGCUAGGCAAUAGGAAAAUUCUGAUUUUUAACUGUUCAAGAUAUAGGAUUCUAUAUAAUUAUCAAUACUUCCAUACCUUUAAGAAUCAUGAGAAUAUGUGUUGGUAGAAAAAAAAAAAUCACAUUGAAAAUAAAAGGAAUGGUUUCUGUGAUCCUUGACAACCAAGCGUUAGAAUAUCCCAAGCAGCUUGUUCAGCCAUCUUUACCAAGGUCACAUAUAUAGCUUAAAUCUUAGUGUUUUUGCUGUUGAAAAACUGCAUAAUCUUGCAUGGAAAUAUUUUCAGAUAUUCUUUCAGUGGUUAUAAUUUCAUUGAAUAUAAAUGUCAGUCAAACAAGAAAUGAAACUAUUGAACUAAAAUAUAGAAUUUAACUCCUUUAAUAAACUGAUUAAAUAUUUAGCAUCUCUUCGUGAGACUUUAUUAAUAUCAAAUAUACUUUGUUUGAUGAUGCUCCAGCUUGGCAUCAGACAUGAUGACUACAACAAACUAAAGGAUAUAUAAUUCGAUAUUAAUUCUAUAUUCAGUAAUCUCCAUUAUAAAUAUGGCUUUAAAGCAGUGAUUUAAUUUAGGUAUUUUAUUUUCUAGUAACCUCAUUUGAAUUAAAUAAUUAAUAUCUUAAUUAUCAAAUAAUUCAAUAUGUUUAUUCAUCUAUAUAUUUGGUUGCUAAUUUGUAAUCACUAAUUAUAAAUUGAAGCCCACUCUAUAAAUGAUCAUAAACAUAUACAUACAUUUAUAUAUAUAUGUACGUAUAUAUAAGAAAAAUUAUAUAUAUAUAUAUGUGUGUGUAUAUAUAUAUAUAUAUAUAUACACACACAUUGUGUGUGUGUGUAUGUUACACACACAUUGUGUGUGUGUGUGUGUGUAUAUAUAUAUAUAUAUAUAUAUAUAUAUAUGUAUGUAUGUAUGUAUAUGUGUUAUUUAACAUUUAGAAUCUUCUGAAUAUGCACGUAUACAUAUAUGUUUUAAAUAUUUUUUUUCUUUCAAUAGACUCAUACAAACCCAUUUUAUUGAUUUACAUAUGCAUGAAAUAAAAUUAAAUAUUAAAAAUUUAGAGUGAUUUGAUAAAAAGAGGAAUCUACAAAUGAAAGAAAAAACAAGUCUAUUCUCGCAAUUCUAAAAUUAUAAAAAUAAUAAUGUUCCUCUUCGUUCAUUUCCAAAAACAUUUUAACCAAUAUAUGUAGCCGUAUUUAUUUAUAAGGUUUUUAUUUCAUGAACUGUAUGCACACAGACUUCAGUAAUUUAUGAAAACCUCGGAGUGCUACUAUCAUAGCAGCUACUACUCAAUACUGCGUUUAAUAUAAGGCAGAAGCUGUUUAUGUGAAUGCAACAAAAGCUACUACUGUUAUUGGUUUGACUAAAGCACUACAUUAGCUUGGCUGGACCUUACUCUCUGACCAACUGCAACCAUCAUUUUGUGUUCAACAUACAUAAUCAUUUGGACAACAGAUGUAUUGGCUAGACUUAUGCUGCUUCACUCUAAUUUUAUGACAGAAUGAAAUAAAGAUUAAUUAUAUAUGUAUUCCUAUUCUAACAUGGAUGAAGAGAAUGUGUAUGUGAAUAUGCAUAUAAGUAUGUGUGUGUGUGUCGAGAGAAAGAGAGAAGGGGAGAGGAAGAUAGACAGAUACAGAGACAGACUGAUAGAUAGAGAAAUAGCUAGAUAGACAGACAGACUCAUAUACAUACUGUUCCUAAAAAGCAAAUGCUAAUACACUUCCAAUAAAUUGAAUAAAUGUAUGCAUUCUUGUCAAAGAAGUCAGACCUGGCCUAGCUAACUCAACGACACACACACAAACACACAUACAUAUAUAUAUAUCAUCAUCAUCAUCAUUUAGCGUCCGUUUUCCAUGCUAGCAUGGGUUGGACGGUUCAACUGGGGUCUGGGGAGCCCGAAGGCUGCACCAGGCCAUAUAUAUAUACUGCGUAAACAUCAGUCACAUAAAUUCAUAUUGUCUGAAAAUAUUUCUUCGUCUAGUGAUUCGUAUGUUUUGGGGUAGAUGUUCAUGGUUUCAUAUUUGGAUAUGGAUAAGUGUACAUAUGUUUGCAUGCAUGUAUGUGAGUGAGUGUAUAGGUAUAUUAUAAUAAUAAUAAUAAUAAUAAUAAUAAUAAAAACAUUGUGUACAGUGCUCAUGUGCACUACAACUCAUCUAAAGUGUAUAUAUAAUCAGGUGUAGUUUCGGCGGAUUUCGGAAAGCAUGAGGGCCUUAAAGGAUGCAGUGUCAUAUACGUGUGUGGGCAAAGGUAUGUGUGUAUACGUGUAUAUAUAUAUAUAUAUACCUGUAUAGACACACAUACAUAUGCACAUAAUAUUCUCUGUUACAUUGAUUUUUCUUUGCUGGUAUGGGUUGGAUAAUGCAUAUAUAUAUAUAUAUAUAUAUAUAUAUAUAUGUUUGUAUAUAUGUAUGUAUUUAUGUAUAUAUAUAUAUAUGUGGGUGUAUGUAUGUGUAUAUAUAUAUAUAUAUAUAUAUAUAUAUAUAUAUAUAUAUAUAUAUGCACAUAUAUAUAUACACAUAUGUUUAUAUGUGUAUGUAUAUAUGUAUAUAUGUGUAUAUAUAUAUGUGCAUAUAUAUAUAUAUAUUUGUGUGUGUAUAUGUGUAUGUAUAUAUAUAUAUAUAUAUAUAUAUAUAUAUAUGUGUGUGUGAGUGUGUGUGUGUGUAUGUAUAUAUCAUCAUCAGCAUCAUCUAGCAUCUGUUGUCCAUGCUGGCAUGGGUUGGACAGUUUAACUAGGGCUGGCAAGCUGGAAGGCUGCAGCAGACUCCAAUCUGAUCUGGCAUGGUUUCUAUGGCCGGAUGCCUUUCCUAACACCAACCACUCUGAGAGCAUAAUGGGUACUAUUAUGUGCCACUGGUAUGGGUGCCAUUUGUUUGACACCUGUAUCUGCCACCACUGUGCUCUUACUUCGCUUGAUGAGUCUUCUUCUAUAUGUCUGUAUACAUGUAUAUGUAUACAUAUAUGUAUGUAUACAUGUGUAUGUAUACAUAUAUGUAUGUAUAUGUGUAUGUAUACAUAUAUGUAUGUAUAUGUGUAUGUAUACAUAUAUGUAUGUAUAUGUGUAUGUAUAUGUAUGUGUAUAUAUUUGGGUAUAUAUAUAUGUAUGUGUAUGUGUAUAUUUAUAAAUGCAUGUAUAUCAUCAUCAUCAUCAUCAUCAUCGUUUAACGUCUGUUUCCCGCGCUAGCACGGGUUGGACGGGCACGGGUUGUAUGUACAUAUAUAUGUAUGUAUAUACAUAUGUAUAUGUAUGUGCGUAUAUAUAUAUAUGUGUAUAUGUAUGUAUGUUUGUAUAUGUCUUCAUAUAUGUAUUUGUAUGUGUGUAUGUAUUUAUGUUUGUAUAUAUGUGUGUGUAUAUUUAUAUAUGUGUAUAUAUAUAUAUAUAUAUAUAUAUAUAUAUGUACGUACGUAUAUGUGUGUGUGUAUUGAUGUAUAUAUACAUGUGUACAUAUGUAUGUAUAAACAUGUCUUUGUAUAUAUUUAUAUAUGUGUAUAUGCAUGUACAUAUGUAUAUAUAUAUAUAUAUAUAUUUAUAUAUAUAUAUAUAUGUAUGUAUAUAUACGUGUGUAUGUAUAUAUGUAUAUAUAUGUGUACAUAUAUAUGUAUAUAUAUGUGUAUAUAUAUAUAUAUAUAUAUAUAUAUAUACGUAUAUUGUCGUUUAUCAUCAUCGUUUAAUGUCCGCUUUCCAUGCUAGCAUGGCUUGGACAGUUUGAGGGUUGGCAAGCCAGAAGGAUGCACCAGGCUCCAAUCUGAUCUGGCAAAGUUUCUACAGCUGGAUGCCCUUCCUAAUGCCAACCACUCUGAGACUGUACACAAUGGCCCAUCAGGAGGUACUGACAUUGACACGUGAUUUUUACAUGCUACCGUCAUGGGACCAGUCAGGUAGCACUGGUAUUGACCAGGCUUGAAUGGUGCUUUGUAUGUGCCACCGGCAUGGGUGCCAAUCAGGCGGUACUGUCAUCGGCCAUGACAAUGACUUCAUUUGACUCAACAGGUCUUUGCAAGCACAGUUUAUUGCCCAAUGAUUGAAAGGUACUCUUAAAUGGCCUGGUUAUGCUGCACUGGCAUAGGCCAUGGUUACGGUCUCACUUAGUUUGCCAGGUCUUCUCAAGCACAGCAUAUCUCCAAAGGUCUCGGUUAUUUGUCAUCACCUCCCUGAGGUCCAACGUUUGAAGGUUACGCAUCACCAUCUCAUCCCAGGUCUUCCUGGGUCUGCCUCUUCCACAGGUUCCCUCUACUGCUAGGGUGUGACACUUUUUCACACAGCUGUCCUCAUUCAUACGCAAUACAUAACCAUACCAGCACAGUCAUCUCUCUUGCACACCACAUCUGAUGCUUCUUAUGUCCAACUUUUCUCUCAGGGUGCUUACACUCUGUCAUGUAUGCACACUGACAUUACACAUCCAGCAGAGCAUACUAGCUUCAUUCCUUGCAAACUUAUACAUGUCCUCAGCAGUCACAGCCCAUGUUUCACUGCCAUGUAGCAUAGCCGUUUGCACACAUGCAUCAUACACUCUACCUUUCACUCAGAUCGAGAGGUCCUUUGUCACCACCAGAGGUAGGAACUCUCUGAGCUUUACCCAGGCUAUUCUUAUUCUAGCAGCUACACUCUCAGAGCAUCCACUCCAACUACUGACUUGAUCACCCAGGUAACGAAAGCUAUCAACUACUUCUAGAUUUUUUCCCUAGCAUGUCAUGGAAGCUGUUUUCUGCACCUUUUCACUGUUUAUUGCCUCUAAGCAUUUGCCACACACAAAAACUGUCUUCCCAUUUAGUCUCCCUUUGAUAUUGCUGCACCUCUUAUGUGUCCAUAGCUUACACUGGGUACAUCUUAUGGAGUUUCUACCUACGCUGUUCCUACAGAUCCUGAAGGGAUUUGUGAUUUGUAUGUCUUCCUACUUAUUAAGACUUUGGUUUUUGCUAGAUUGACUCUAAGGCCUUUCGAUUCUAGACCAUGCUUCCAUGCCUGAAACUUCUCUAGUUCUGAUAGUGACUCAACUAUUAGAGCAAGGUCAUCAGCAUAGAGAAGCUUCCAGAGACAUCCUGUCUUGAAUUCCUCUGUUAUUGCCCGGAGGACUAUGAUGAAUAAGAGGGAGCUGAGGACUGAUCCUUGGUGGAGCCCUACCCCUAUCAGGAAUUCUUUACUAUACUCAUUGCCAAACCUCACCUUACUGACAGCAUGGCUUGUACAGCUCUUACUAACCACUCAUCUAUCCCUAGUUUCUGCAUUGACCACCAGAUAAGGGAUUGGGGGGACCCUGUCAAAGGAUUUCUUCAUGUCAACAAAAGCCAGAUACAGAGGUUUAUCUUUGGCUAGGUAUUUCUCUUGGAGCUGUCUUACAAGAAAUAUAGCAUCAGUGGUGCUUUUCCCUAGCACAAACCCGAACUGCAUCUCAUCAAAACUGACUCUCUCUCCCUAAUUAGUUGGACUGUAACCCUCUAUGUGACUUUCAUUACCUGAUCCAGCAACUUGAUACCUCUGUCAUUAUUCAUAUCUAACACAUCACUUUUACCUUUGUAGCAGUUGACAAUGGUGCUGCUACACCAGUCAUUGGGUAUGACUCCAUAUAGUCCUGAUUGACUAUAUGGGUGACUAGGUUAUAGCCGACACCACCAGAUAUUUUAAGCAUCUCUGUAGUGAUUCUUGAUGGAUGGUGGGGGGCUUUCUCUGUCUUCAUACCCUUAAUUGCUUUAUGUAUGUAUGUAUGUAUGUAUGUAUGUAUGUAUGUAUGGGCCCCCACACCAGAUGGCUGGACUUGAUUAAAGAUGAUCUCCGGAGGCUUGAUGGCAUCUGGAGAAUGUGGAGAGGCUGGUAUGGGACAGCCAGCGAUGGAGAGCAUUGGUAGACCUGGUCAGCUCUAUGCAUGAAGACACCUUUGCAACCACUAACCUAGGAUGACUCCAGCCCCACCAAGCUAGAGCUUGAAGCAAGCAAGUAUGUGAGUGUGUGUAUAUAUAUAUAUAUAUAUAUAUAUAAUAUCACACUAAAGUCUGGUGCAGCCUUCUAGCUUGCCAGCCUGGUCAAACCAGCUAACCCAUGCCAGCAUGGACAACAGACGUUAAAUAAUGAUGAUGUUAUAUAUAUAUAUGCAUAUAUAUGUAUGUCUUUGCAUACAUAUAUGUAUGUAUCGUAAACCAAGAACCUGUUAUCUCAUUAUGAGGAUUAAGGACAACUCUUAUAAACAAGAUCACAGGAUCUAAAGAUUUCUCAGACAACAAUCAUAUCGAAAUAUAUAUUCUCAUCAUCAAAUUUCUAAUAGAUACAUUACAAUUUUUACACCUGUGCAUCUGUGUGUGUGUAUCAAAUACACAUGGGUAUGUACCAUAUUUUAACAUGUAUAAGAAGUCCGCAUGUAUAAGGAACCCCUUAAUUUUUAGGGUUUAAAAUUUGGAAAAAAGAUUUUGCAAUGGAUUAUAAUACUAUCCAUGUAUAAGAAACUCCCAUUUCUUUUUAACCUAAUUUUUGACAAAAAGGUUCCUUAUACACAUUAAAAUACGGUAUAUAUAUAUGUGUGUGUGUGUGUAUGUGUGUGUGUGUGUUAUCAUCAUCGUUUAGUGUACACUUUCCAUGCUGGCAUGGGUUAGGCGGUUUGACUGGAACUGGUAAGCUGGAGAGCUGUACUGGGUUCCAGUCUGAUUUGGCAUGGUCUCUAUGGCUGGAUGCUCUGCCUAAUGCCAAGUGUUGUGUAGUAGGUGCCUUUUACAUGUCACCAGCAUGGGUGCUUUUUAUGUGUCUCCAGCAUGGCCAUGACAAUGAUUUCACUUGGUUUGAUGAGUCUUCUCAAGCACAGCAGAUUGCCAAAGGCCUCGAUCACUUGUCAUUGUCUCUGUGGGACCAAAUUUAUGUGU